rfam:Glycine soja cultivar W05 scaffold1441_38, whole genome shotgun sequence.
GUAAGGAUAGUUCAGUUGGGAGAGUGUGAGACUGAAAAUUUGAAGGUCGCGUGUUUGAUCCAUGCUCAUUGCA